CCGGCCGCCGCCGCAGCCAGGCCAGCGUGGCGGCGCGCCACCGAAGCUGCUGCUGCCCCUGCUCCCGAUCCACUACUGCUGCUCCUCCUCGUCUCCAAGCUGCUGCACCUCCUCCUCGUCUCCAAUCUGCUGCUGCUCCUCCUCGUUCCCUCAAGCUUCUGCAGCAAGUGAAGAACAAGCGCCUCCGGCAAGCACGAGUGCCACUGCAACCUCUUCCCUUCCUCAACUCCUUGCUGCCCCUUCUCCUUGGGUGAAUCCCCAUCAAAAUCUCUCUCCCUUUCCCCCCUGUUGCUUGCUGUUUGUAUGAACUGAAAGUCAGAACAUGUGUUGAUUUUGUGUGCCUACAAGCUGUUUGUAUAGCCACUUAUUGGGAUAAAACUUCAGAAUGUAUGCAGGUUUUUUAUAAAGAAAUCUAUAAUCAAGGACACCGUCUUCUUCACACGCCACCGAUCCCGAGAUCAUGAUGUGCUAGUUAAUGGCCCUGAUUAAUUGGCUCAAAGAUGGACUGACUUCACAAUUCAAUCGUCAACGAUCUGAUUCUUCAUUUUAUCAACAGUAAUACAUGACCAUAAAGAGAAACUAAAGUAUAGUGCAGAUAUCUGCAAUGUAAAGACUCGAUGGCUAUAGCUUCAAUUCAGAAUUUUUCACACAACAAGGUAAUCGAUGAUGCAAAUAUCAGCUGCAGAUUUCUGAAACUUGUUUCGCUCAGAAGAUAUCCAAAUAUAUAGGCAACUAAACUUUUCUUAUCAAGUUUUCAGAGCACAACGAAAGAAUCACAAAUAAGGACAGUAAAAAAAAAUGCAAGAUUUUAGAGUCGUCAAUCUGUAAGUGAAUAAAGAGGCACAAAUUGGGAACUGCUCACCAGAUUAGAAUUUCUUCUUUGCUCUCUUCUAUCAUAUCCCUCCACACUUGAACUCUUUCCGAUAAGAUAAAACUCUGAAUGACAAGAAUGAGUACGAUACAGCUUUCUUUGCUCCACCAUCUCACAACCUCCUGCACUCUCCUUCUCUUCUCCUCGUGCUCUCUCUUCUCAUCACAAUGUCAUGGAUCCACCUGGGUCCCACGGAAUGUCAACUCGAACCUUGUUUUUUCCUUGUUGACAAAGCACCCGUGAAAUCCCUGAAAUACGCUCACAACAGGAACUAAAAAUGACAGAGUUGACCCCCUCCAAAUUAUCAAUGGAGUAACCAAUGGCAUACGCAUAUCGAUACCACACAUGGCGAGGAUGAUAUAUCACAUUAAGCUCAAUUAUAUCAUAUGAAUAGAAUCUAGGAGAGAUCACUGGACCAAUACCCUCUAAGUCAUCAAUUGAGAAACCAAUUAUGUAAGCAUAGCAAUAAAGCACAUGGUGAUGAUGAUAAGUAUUCGCAUGUGAGAUAAGAGUAAUAUUAGAGCAUGCAUCCUUAGGCAACAUUCUAGCAUUUGGGUAACACGAGUCAUCAUCAUCAAUUUCAGAAGUGGCACUAAUAGAGUAUGCAUCAUCAAGUUUAAGAAAGUAACACUUCAGUUCUACCUUUAGUGAUGGUAUCAUGCAAUGCAAGGUAGUAGCAGAAAUUUCAUAAGGAAGGAUGUCACAGAGAAUAUUAGAUAAACCUUUAACCACACAUUCUUGCAUGAGAAUGGGCAUGUCCACUUGAAUCUCUUCUUUAUCUCCAUUUUCUGCUUCAUUAGCUUCUUCUUUGUCUUCAGGAUUGACAACUACUGUAUUUUUGCUACUUGCACAGCCCACCUCUUGCUCAUUCCGAAUCACAUGUUCUUGAUCUGCAUCUGAAGGUAUAGCUGAUUGUUGAUGGAACAUCUUCUCUUGCUGCAUCUUCAUAAAAUCUUCAAACCAAGCUUGUUGUUCUGCUUCAAAAUUUAACUGAGCUUGUGACUUUGCCUCUUCAUUCCUAAAUCCCUGCAUAGGAUAGCUAGAAGAAAAAGAUGAGACCUCAGGGCUGUCGUUCCUAUAUGUCAUGUUUGGAUUUCCAGGCCAUCUGGGUGAAUAAUUGUUGUGGUAUGGGUCAUGCCAUGGAGCAAAACUCAUACCAUAACAAUCUGGAGUGUAAGGUUUACCACACCGACAAUCGGCGGGUGUAUGACCCUGAAAUCCGCAAACAUGGCAUGUAGGACCAACAAAUGGAUACCCUAGAGAAUAAGGAUCAUAACAGCUAGGCCCAUCCACUAAAUAUGUACCAUGUUGCAUAGAUAAUUCAUGUAAAGUUUGAUUACUCAUAUUUCCUUGAAGAUUUCCCAUAUGAUUAGUGCUACUGCUAACAUGCC